CCAUCUCUAGGCUAUCUUUGAAUAUAAUUCUCCCAAGUGUCUAGGGUGACUGCAUGUUAGAUUGGAGAACAUGAGCUGGGGAACUCAGCUCUGUUUUUCAGGUUGAUUUUCUGUGCUUCGUUGGCCUGCAUAUUAUAACUCCACGAGUCAGUUUUUCAGAGAUGGUUGUUAUACUGCGUUUACCAUAAACUGCACCCAUUUUCUCCAUCCCAGCUGUGUGAGAGAGAAUGGCUGCCACUCACUUGCUUCUCGAUUGACACCAAAAAAGAGGCUUGAAUUUCGGCUGUAACUUUAGGACAAGAGCUCAGGUACCAGAGAUGAUGGCAGUUCUUUUCCAGUGCAUAAAUAAUGUAUUGGCCGUAUACAUCUCCUGCUGGCAGCUGGCUGCAGCAUGUCAUGCUGAGGAAUGCGAGAAGCAACAAACGAGCACUCCCUUGGCAGCCAGCAAUGAAGAGGCAGUUCAGCUGCCCAUAAAAUGCCAUCGGAAAGCCUUUGACAAGGUCCAAUACCAAAGGCAAAAACCGAAGUGGGCAGACAUGCGAUAAGAAAGAAGGUCCUCUCAUGGAUCAGUAACUGGUUAAAAAAGACAGGAAACAAAGCUAAUCAAGAUUAAGAAAUUAAUAAGAGAUCGUAAAAUCUAUGGGAAGGAAUACAAACAGGAGUGUAUCUAGUUUAUGAAUAAAGAUCAAGAUACAUUUGGGAUUGCAAAGGGACACUCUACUAUCAAGACUGUAUGUUCCAGUCUAUGCAUCUGAUGAAGUGGACUGUAGCCCACGAAAGCUUAUGCUCAAAUAAAUUUGUUAGUCUCUAAGAUGCCACAAGUACUCCUAUUCUUCCUACUAUCACGUUAGCGGUCAGUGGGUUGCUUCAUGAACAGAAGAUCACAGCCAAGCCAUGCUGUAAUACACUGCAAGAAUUUAGGGUGAAUUUUUGUUCUUAUGACAUUAUGUCAUAUUAGUUAAGUUUAGGCUCCAGUAUGUGUGUUAUGAUUUUAUUUUAUAUGUAAGCCUUUGUUUGCAAUAUUCUGCUUGCUCUCAUUUGAAUCUCUGUUCUUUGUUAAAUUAAUUUAUACUUGUUUUCUCUAUAAAUAAAUCUAACUGCUGCGUGUUAAGCAGAGUUGUAUUCUGAGAUAACUGUGAAGCUGGGAUAUACUGGUCCUUUGGGAACAGUGGAUCUGGGAAUUCUGUGAGGGUCCAGUGGAUCAGGGAGUGAGGUUUACACUUGGAGGACUUGGGGAUUGGAAUGUGCCUGUCAAUAACCUGUAAAAAGAGAGCAGGGCAUGCAGAGUCCUGGAAGGCAGUACUUGCAUUGCCAGAGGCUAAAGGUGCUGGGGAACAAACCCCCAGCAAGCACUGACAAGGUUUCCUCACACUAAGGGCAGGUGGUAGUGAGGCGCCUCACAACCCUGGGUACCCCCAAGAAGCAUCACAGCAUAUUUUCCAGAAGGGCGUCCAGUCUUGAUUUGAAGACUUCAAGAAAUGAAGAAUCCAUCACUUCCCUUGGUAGGUUGUUCCAGUGUUAAUCACUCGCUGUUAAAAAUGUGUGCCUUGUUUCUGAUUUGAAUUUGACUGGCUUUAAUCCUUCUUUGCUAGCUUGAGUAGCAUUUUAAUAUGCAAUAUGUUCUCCUGUGAAAGUACU